UCGAGAAUCUUCCGCAAUGGGCGAAAGCCUGACGGAGCGACGCCGCGUGGAGGACGAAGGCCUUUGGGUUGUAAACUCCUGUCACGGGUUAUGAAUGUGCGUGCGUGAACAGCGUACGUAUUGACGUAUGCCCGAAAGGAAGCACCGGCUAACUCUGUGCCAGCAGCCGCGGUAAUACAGAGGGUGCAAACGUUGUUCGGAAUCACUGGGCAUAAAGCGCGCGUAGGCGGUCCUGUAAGUGUGAAGUGAAAGCCCACGGCUCAACCGUGGAAUUGCUUUGCAUACUGCAGGACUCGAGGACGGUAGGGGAGAGCGGAACUCCUGGUGGAGCGGUGGAAUGCGUAGAUAUCAGGAGGAACACCGGUGGCGAAGGCGGCUCUCUGGUCCGUUUCUGACGCUGAGGUGCGAAAGCCAGGGUAGCGAACGGGAUUAGAUACCCGUGUAGUCC
rnacentral:rRNA from 1 species